AAAGCACACUGGUGUAAUUAGAGAAGGCUGAGGACCAAACUGAAUGGCAGGAACAACACAACAGCACUAACACAGAGCUUGGAGAUGGACACACUGCAUGUACUGUAACAGAGUAAAAGGCAAGAUGUCUGCAACCAUGCAGCAGGAACAUCAUACUGAAGAUGAAUAAACAGGAACACCCUGAGAUGACUGACAUGUGGAGACAUGAUAGUCAGUGAAUUGGCAGUGCUGGCUAAGUUAAGAGGAUAUGAGAAUCCACAGUGUGACAACAAGGAGUGAAUGGGAGGUUCACUCUGUGCCAACUGAGUCCUGCCUGAGCUACUACAAUGGCAUGUGGCAUG